rnacentral:rRNA from 1 species
GACGAACGCUGGCGGCGUGCUUAACACAUGCAAGUCGAACGAAGUGGCGAACGGGUGAGUAAUACGUGGGUACCCUGCCCUCCUUUUUGGGAUAAGCCUUGGAAACGGGGUCUAAUACCGAAUAAAGGGGGAUGGGCUCGCGGCCUUGCAGCUGGUUGGUGGGGUGAUGGGCUACCAAGGCGGUGACGGGGAGCCGGCCUGAGAGGGGGACCGGCGACAGUGGGACUGUGGUACUGCCCAGAGUCCGACGGGAGGCGGCAUUUGGGGAUAUUGCCCAAUGGGCGAAAGCCUGAUGCAGCGACGCCGCGGGGGGGAUGAGGGCUUUCGGGUUGUAAACCUAUAUCGCUAUCGAACGGGUAUGUGGCGAAGAAGCGCCGGCUAACUACGUGCCAGCCGCCGCGGUAAUUC